rnacentral:rRNA from 1 species
GUUGAACGCUGGCGGCGUGCCUAAUACAUGCAAGUCGAGCGAACGGACGAGAAUCUUGCUUCUCUUAUGUUAGCGGCGGACGGGUGAUGAACACGUGGAUAACCUACCUAUAAGACUGGGAUAACGUCAGGAAACCUGAGCUAAUACCGGAUAAUAGUGUGAACCGCAUGGUUCAAAAGUGAAAAACCGUCUUGCUGUCACUUAUAGAUUGAUCGGCGCUGCAUUAGCUAGUUGGUAAGGUAACGGCUUACCAAGGCAACGAUGCAUAGCCGACCUGAGAGGGUGAUCGGCCACACUGGAACUGAGACACGGUCCAGACUCCUACGGGAGGCAGCAGUAGGGAAUAUUCCGCAAUGGGCGAAAGCCUGACGGAGCAACGCCGCGUGAGUGAUGAAGGUCUUCGGAUUGUAAAACUCUGUUAUUAGGGAAGAACAUAUGUGUAAGAAUCCGUGCACAUUUUGACGGUACCUACACAGAAAGCCACGGCUAACUACGUG